GUAGGUGGCAAGCGUUGUCCGGAAUUAUUGGGCGUAAAGCGCGCGCAGGCGGUUCUUUAAGUCUGAUGUGAAAGCCCACGGCUCAACCGUGGAGGGUCAUUGGAAACUGGAGAACUUGAGUACAGAAGAGGAAAGCGGAAUUCCACGUGUAGCGGUGAAAUGCGUAGAGAUGUGGAGGAACACCAGUGGCGAAGGCGGCUUUCUGGUCUGUAACUGACGCUGAGGCGCGAAAGCGUGGGGGAGCAAACAGGAUUAGAUACCCUGGUAGUCCACGCCGUAGACGAUGAGUGCUAAGUGUUAGGGGGUUUCCGCCCCCCCCUUAGUGCUGCAGCUAACGCAUUAAGCACUCCGCCUGGGAGUACGGCCGCAAGGCUG
rnacentral:rRNA from 1 species